GUUUUUGUGUGCACUGAUGCUGCUGCACGGGGAGUUGAUGUUCCAAAUGUGUCACAUGUUAUCCAGGCAGACUUUGCCACAUCUGCUGUAGAUUUCUUGCAUAGGGUUGGCCGCACAGCUCGAGCUGGUCAAUAUGGACUUGUCACUAGCCUGCACACUGAAUCCAAUCGAGAUCUUGUUGAUGCAAUUCGUCAAGCGAAG
rnacentral:misc_RNA from 1 species